AGGGAUGCUACCGGGCGACCGGAUGCGGAUCUCGAAAGCCUGUCCCAGUUCGGACUGGAGUCUGCAACCCGACUCCACGAAGUUGGAUUCGCUAGUAAUCGCGCAUCAGCCAUGGCGCGGUGAAUACGUUCCCGGGCCUUGUACACACCGCCCGUCAAGCCAUGGGAGCCGGGGGUGCCUGAAGGCCGUGACCGCGAGGAGCGGCCUAGGGUAAAACUGGUGACUGGGGCUAAGUCGUAACAAGGUAGC
rnacentral:rRNA from 1 species